AGAAUCAACGCUGGCGGCGUGCCUAACACAUGCAAGUCGAACGAGAAAGUGGUAGCAAUACCAUGAGUAAAGUGGCGCACGGGUGAGUAACACGUGACUAACCUACCCUUGAGUGGGGGAUAACUGAGGGAAACCUUAGCUAAUACCGCAUAAUACCCACGGGUCAAAGGAGCAAUUCGCUCGAGGAGGGGGUCGCGGCCGAUUAGCUAGUUGGCGGGGUAAUGGCCCACCAAGGCGAUGAUCUGUAUCCGGCCUGAGAGGGCGCACGGACACACUGGAACUGAAACACGGUCCAGACUCCUACGGGAGGCAGCAGUGGGGAAUUUUGCGCAAUGGGGGAAACCCUGACGCAGCAACGCCGCGUGGAGGAUGAAGCCCCUUGGGGUGUAAACUCCUUUCGAUCGGGAAGAUUAUGACGGUACCGAUAUAAGAAGCCCCGGCUAACUUCGUGCCAGCAGCCGCGGUAAUACGAGGGGGGCGAGCGUUGUUCGGAAUUAUUGGGCGUAAAGGGUGCGUAGGCGGUUUGGCAAGUCUUAUGUGAAAUCUAUGGGCUCAACCCAUAGCCUGCAUGAGAAACUGCCGGGCUUGAGUAUGGGAGAGGUGAGUGGAAUUUCCGGUGUAGCGGUGAAAUGCGUAGAUAUCGGAAGGAACACCUGUGGCGAAAGCGGCUCACUGGACCAUAACUGACGCUGAGGCACGAAAGCUAGGGGAGCAAACAGGAUUAGAUACCCUGGUAGUCCUAGCCCUAAACGAUGAUUGCUUGAUGUGGCAGGUACCCAAUCCUGCUGUGUCGAAGCUAACGCGAUAAGCGAUCCGCCUGGGGAGUACGGUCGCAAGGCUGAA
rnacentral:rRNA from 1 species